rnacentral:tmRNA from 1 species
GGGGGCGAAAGGCUUCGACCGGACGGGUAGAGAGACAGGUCGCAUAUCCAGGACGCCGGUUGGCCUGGCUAAUCAAUCCGGCACAAAAAUUAAUUGGCAACUACCAAUUAAGUAUGGCUGCUUAAAUAAGCGGCCCGUCCUGUGGGAUUAAGCCCGCGGGUUUCACAAGGGCGUCGAUUAGCGGGAUAGCUUUGCAAGGCCGUUCGUCUAAGCAAAGCGAAACCUUAACGAGCUGGCCAAACUGACAGCCUGUUGUUCGGCGGUCAGGGCGGCGAGAAACAAAAGAAUAACUAAAUAUGUAGAAGCCUGUUUUGAAACGUCUCGGGACGGGAGUUCGAAUCUCCCCGCCUCCAGUC